GCUGGAAAGGGGGUUACUAGGGAACUAAUUAGGUUCAGCUGGCUCCAACUAUUUGAGACCUUUUUAACCCUUCCUGGUGUGGAAGGGAGCAGGAGGAGGA